rnacentral:rRNA from 1 species
UACGAAGGGUGCAAGCGUUAAUCGGAAUUACUGGGCGUAAAGGGUGCGUAGGCGGUUGUUUAAGUCUGUUGUGAAAUCCCCGGGCUCAACCUGGGAAUGGCAAUGGAUACUGGACAGCUAGAGUGUGUCAGAGGAUGGUGGAAUUUCCGGUGUAGCGGUGAAAUGCGUAGAUAUCGGUCGGAACACCAGUGGCGAAGGCGGUCUCCUGGGGCAUUCUUGACGCUGAGGCGCGAAAGCUGGGGGAGCGAACGGG